GCGCCCGAACAGGGCGCGACGAAGCCCAGGCGCCAAGACGGCGGCGUCGGGGGGAAAGGGCGCAAAGCGCCCAAGAUGAACCCCGCCCUCCAGCCAUGGGCACA
rnacentral:snoRNA from 1 species